GUAGGACGUCAUGAAAGCUUCAAAGCAAUAGGCAUAAUCAUUUCUGGGAAUAGCUGAAAGAGGAAUGCUACCCAUCUGAGCCUGGGAAUCAGACUAUUUAAAAAUAUUACAUAAGUAAGGUACCACAAAAUUCCUGAAAAAAACUUUUAAAACUUUAAUUUAUGCUACAUAAGGUUACAAUACCAUGUGACGGACAUCACAAUAGAAAUCAUUCAUCCUGAAUUUCACAUUUGAAUUCAACUGGAAUCAUAAUGGAGUUUCGAGUCAUAUUAAGUCUUCCAUUUCUUGCAGCUGCUGUUGCUGCUGAUGCACUUGGAAUUGCCAAUGCUACAUCUUCUCUUGAAUCUACCGGGCCAACAACACCCACAGUUCCUCCAACAUCCACAUCUGUUCCUUCAAUAACAACAAACACAAUUGCUCCCACUCCCACUUCAGCUGCUUCAAAAACUACAGCUGUUCCUCUAACAAUUACUACAGUUCCUCCUGCCAUAACCUCAAUUUCAUCUGCAACAACCACAGUUGUACCUCUAACAGCAACAACAGCUGCACAAACAACUGCAGCUGUUCCUUCAACAACAACAGCUGCACCAACCACAACCACAGCAGCUCCAACCACAACCACAGCUGCUCCAACCACAACCACAGAUGCUCCAACCGCAACAGCUUCUCCAACCACAACAACAGAGACACCAUCCACAAGAACAGUUGCUCAAACCACAACAGAGACAACAACCACAACCACAGCAGCCCCGGCAACAACAACAGUUGCUCCAACCACAAAAACAGUAGCUCCGACGACAAGAACA